AAUCCUGCAUCAAGUGCAUUGU
rnacentral:miRNA from 1 species